GACUACAGGGGUAUCUAAUCCUGUUUGCUCCCCACGCUUUCGUGCAUGAGCGUCAGUACAGGCCCAGGGGAUUGCCUUCGCCAUCGGUGUUCCUCCGCAUAUCUACGCAUUUCACUGCUACACGCGGAAUUCCAUCCCCCUCUGCCGUACUCCAGCCUUGCAGUCACAAAUGCAGUUCCCAGGUUAAGCCCGGGGAUUUCACAUCUGUCUUGCAAGACCGCCUGCGCACGCUUUACGCCCAGUAAUUCCGAUUAACGCUUGCACCCUACGUAUUACCGCGGCUGCUGGCACGUAGUUAGCCGGUGCUUAUUCUUCAGGUACCGUCAUUACCCUGGGGUAUUAGCCCAGAGCGUUUCUUCCCUGACAAAAGCGGUUUACAACCCGAAGGCCUUCUUCCCGCACGCGGCAUGGCUGGAUCAGGCUUGCGCCCAUUGUCCAAAAUUCCCCACUGCAGCCGCCCGUAGG
rnacentral:rRNA from 1 species